GCUAAUACCGCAUAAUGCCUACGGGCCAAAGAGGGGGACCUUCGGGCCUCUCGCGUCAAGAUAUGCCUAGGUGGGAUUAGCUAGUUGGUGAGGUAAUGGCUCACCAAGGCGACGAUCCCUAGCUGGUCUGAGAGGAUGAUCAGCCACACUGGAACUGAGACACGGUCCAGACUCCUACGGGAGGCAGCAGUGGGGAAUAUUGCACAAUGGGCGAAAGCCUGAUGCAGCCAUGCCGCGUGUAUGAAGAAGGCCUUCGGGUUGUAAGGUACUUUCAGUUGUGAGGAAGGGGGUAACGUUAAUAGCGUUAUCUCUUGACGUUAGCAACAGAAGAAGCACCGGCUAACUCCGUGCCAGCAGCCGCGGUAAUACGGAGGGUGCGAGCGUUAAUCGGAAUUACUGGGCGUAAAGCGCAUGCAGGUGGUUCGUUAAGUCAGAUGUGAAAGCCCGGGGCUCAACCUCGGAACUGCAUUUGAAACUGGCGGACUAGAGUACUGUAGAGGGGGGUAGAAUUUCAGGUGUAGCGGUGAAAUGCGUAGAGAUCUGAAGGAAUACCGGUGGCGAAGGCGGCCCCCUGGA
rnacentral:rRNA from 1 species